GACGAACGCUGGCGGCGUGCUUAACACAUGCAAGUCGAACGGAAAGGCCCUGCUUUUGUGGGGUGCUCGAGUGGCGAACGGGUGAGUAACACGUGAGUAACCUGCCCUUGACUUUGGGAUAACUUCAGGAAACUGGGGCUAAUACCGGAUAGGAGCUCCUGCUGCAUGGUGGGGGUUGGAAAGUUUCGGCGGUUGGGGAUGGACUCGCGGCUUAUCAGCUUGUUGGUGGGGUAGUGGCUUACCAAGGCUUUGACGGGUAGCCGGCCUGAGAGGGUGACCGGCGAGAGUGGGGGGGUGAGCCGGACAAGGCGCGUGCGGGAGGAAGUGGUGGGAAUGAGUGAGCAGGGGGCGGGAGCGGGAGGGGCCAGCGCGGCGGGGGGGAUGUGGGCAGGAGGGGUGUAAACCGUGUGGGACGGGGAGGGAGGGGAGGUAAGGGUAAUGGGAAAGGAGGCACGGCAUAACUUGGGGCCAGGAGCCGAGGUAAUGGAGAAUAGCACACUUCUGACC
rnacentral:rRNA from 1 species